rnacentral:rRNA from 1 species
GACGAACGCUGGCGGCGUGCUUAACACAUGCAAGUCGAACGGAAAGGCCCUGCUUUUGUGGGGUGCUCGAGUGGCGAACGGGUGAGUAACACGUGAGUAACCUGCCCUUGACUUUGGGAUAACUUCAGGAAACUGGGGCUAAUACCGGAUAGGAGCUCCUGCUGCAUGGUGGGGGUUGGAAAGUUUCGGCGGUUGGGGAUGGACUCGCGGCUUAUCAGCUUGUUGGUGGGGUAGUGGCUUACCAAGGCUUUGACGGGUAGCCGGCCUGAGAGGGUGACCGGCCACAUUGGAAAUGAGAUACGGCCCAGACUCCUAAGGGAAGCAGCAGUGGGGAAUAUUGCACAAUGGGCGGAAGCCUGAUGCAGCAACGCCGCGUGCGGGAUAACGGCCUUAGGGUUGUAAACCGCUUUCGCCUGUGACGAAGCGUGAGUGACGGUAAUGGGUAAAGAAGCACCGGCUAAAUACGUG